UACUCCUACGGGAGGCAGCAGUGAGGAAUAUUGGUCAAUGGAUGGAAAUCUGAACCAGCCAAGUAGCGUGCAGGAUGACGGCCCUAUGGGUUGUAAACUGCUUUUAUGUGAGAAUAAAGUUAGGUAUGUAUACUUAUUUGCAUGUAUCACAUGAAUAAGGACCGGCUAAUUCCGUGCCAGCAGCCGCGGUAAUACGGAAGGUCCAGGCGUUAUCCGGAUUUAUUGGGUUUAAAGGGUGCGUAGGCCGUUUGAUAAGCGUGCUGUGAAAUAUAGUGGCUCGACCUCUAUCGUGCAGCGCGAACUGUUGAACUUGAGUGCGUAGUAGGUAGGCGGAAUUCGUGGUGUAGCGGUGAAAUGCUUAGAUAUCACGAAGAACUCCGAUUGCGAAGGCAGCUUACCGUAACGUUACUGACGCUUAAGCACGAAGGUGCGGGUAUCGAACAGGAUUAGAUACCCUGGUAGUCCGCACAGUAAACGAUGGAUGCUCGCUGUUGGCCUUUGUGGUCAGUGGCUUAGCGAAAGCGUUAAGCAUCCCACCUGGGGAGUACGCCGGCAACGGUGAAACUCAAAGGAAUUGACGGA
rnacentral:rRNA from 1 species